rnacentral:tRNA from 1 species
GGAUUGUGGCUCAGCGGUAGAGCACUCACCUAGCAUGUGCAAGGCCCUGGGUUCGAUCCUUAGCACCA